GAACGCACAUUGCGCCCGCCAGUAUUCUGGCGGGCAUGCCUGUUCGAGCGUCAUUUCAACCCUCAAGCCCCCGGGCUUGGUGUUGGAGAUCGGCGUGCCCUCCGGGGCGCGCCGGCUCCCAAAUAUAGUGGCGGUCUCGCUGUAGCUUCCUCUGCGUAGUAGCACACCUCGCACUGGAAAACAGCGUGGCCACGCCGUUAAACCCCCCACUUCUGAAAGGUUGACCUCGGAUCAGGUAGGAAUACCCGCUGAACUUA
rnacentral:misc_RNA from 1 species